rnacentral:lncRNA from 1 species
GUCACAAAGGAGGAAAGAAUGUUUCUCAAUUAAAGAUCUGAGGGUGACAGUUGGAUUGGGACAUGCAAACUGUUUGAAGGUUAUUGAAGCUUAUAUUGCCACUACGUAUCUUAUGUCUCAGUCAGGGUUUGAGAAAUUCCACAGACAUUGAAUUCCAACUAAAUCUAUGUAGACCACUGCAACAGCCAUGAGGAUCUAGAUAUGCUGAGAUCAAGCUCUUUACGACAUGGCUGACCAGGCCUCACAACCUCUUCUUGAUCCAGGAGGAAUGAUCAAAUUGAUAAAUGAAAUUCAUGCUGAAAAAAAGAAAAACAGUCAAGAAGCAAUUGAAAAGGCUAAAGUUAGUAGAUAUAGAAAUUGGAAAAAAGAAAAAAGAGAGAGAAGGGAUGAAUAUCAGAGAGCAUUUUGUGGGGGAAAUUAUAGGGGAAAAAACAAGAAGGAAUCCUCAGCGUGAAUCCAGAAAACAAGGAGGUUCAAUGAUGACCCUAACGUGAAGGAUGAACAAUCAUGACAGGAACAAGAAAAACAGGGGUGCCCCACUUGGCAAUAAAGGAGACCUCAUGAAUUGGAUAUCUGAGCACCGGAUGCACAAAAGUAAUCAGAAAUCAGAGGAACUUCCAAAGAAAGCUAUUAUCAUAAUUUUAUUCUUCAAAUUUUAACGUGAAAACAUUUAUUUGAUCUCUUUAGGUUUGUUAAUAAAGACUGUAUAAAAUGUAUUUGAUUGCAGUGUAAAAAAAAACAAAUCUAUUGUCUUAUUUUACCAAGAAUAGAAACAAUAGAUUAUGCAGUCUUUCACAUCCUUUAAACUUGAUAUUUGAUCUCCAUAUUUGGAAUCAACACGAGAUGUAUGUCACUUUGCUCAGAACAGAGAUUAGAUGAAACAGUAAUGACAUUUUCAAUGCUAUCUUAUGCUAUAGUGCACCAAUUAUUUUCCUGAUUUAGCUUCAGCUGCUAUAACAAAAAUCCUAUAAAUUGCAUGGCUUUAAAAACAAACAUUUCUUUCCUACAGUUCCAGAGGCUGAAAGUCCAAGAUCAAGGUACUGCCAGAUACAGUGUCUGGUGAGGACCAAAUUCCUGAUUCAUAGACAGCAGUCUUCUCUCUGUGUCCUCACACAGCAGGAGGGAUUUCCCUGGAGAACACUGCCUAAUACAGUACACAAUAGCUUAAAAAUUGACUUUUAGUCAGAAACUUGACUCUGAUGAAUUGCAAAAGAAACUGCUUUUCUUUUUUUUUUUUUUAUCCUUUGGGAGUUCUUUUAUGUGUCCUAAUUUUAUUUCUAGUAUCUUAGUACAUAAUCACCCAGAGUGUGAAGCAUCCUAACAUGCAGCAAACAGAGCCAAGUCUGUAAUAAAAACAGAUGACUGAGAAAAGAUAUAUAGUAAAUAACAAUGAAGACACACAGGCACAAGGGAAAAACACUGAGGGAAGGCUGUGUGAAGAUAAAAGCAGAGAUUGGAGUUUUUCUGCUACAAGCCAAGGACACCUGGAACCACCAGAAAGUGAAAGAGUGCUUCAUCUUCAGAGAGAUUCACGGAAAGGACUCUGACAAGUACUCUAGAAUACAGGUUUCUGACAACUUUAAUAUCAUAACAAUGAAAUGGGUAAGAAUUUCCAGAACAAAUGGAAAAACUGGAUUUAAGCAGAAUAAGAAUUAAUAACAUGGGAUUGAAUGAACUGAU